UAAUAACUUUCCAACUCUUUGAUGAUGGUGACCAAACUUGAAAGACAUCUCAAAUCUCAUCAAGUAGGAGACUCAAGAUUAUAUUGAAAUAGUUAUAUGAUUGAUUUAUCUGGAAAAGGAUCUUGAAAGCCUUAGAAUUGUGAAGGAAAGAAAGUGUGAAAGAUCACCUCGUCAAGUCUAUCUGAGUGACUAGAGUCUUAUGAAAGUACGAGAG
rnacentral:lncRNA from 1 species